rnacentral:lncRNA from 1 species
UUCGACUCCUUCUCUGUUGCACCCGGAGAAUCGAUUGUAAGACAGGUUCAAGAAGGAGAGGUUCGCAAGGCUCGCGAGGCCCGCCAAAGGAACGUCCCCAACAAGCAGGUUGUGGCUCAGAUCGAGGGACUGGAUCUGGGAGCAACGGAGCACAUCCGACGGGAACGCGACAUGGAGGGAGUUGUUGGCGAGGUCGAUGGUCCGUAUCGAGGAGGGGCAGUAGGACCAGAGGAAGGCGAAGGAGAGGUACAGAGGUGCGACGCGGGGGCGCGACCAGAGGUCGAUCUUGGCGAAGGAGAAGUUGCAGUCCGGAUUGCUGGACUCAGCGCAGAGAUGGCGAGCGACGACGGUGGACUUGUAGAUGCCGGCGAGGUCAGUGGUCACAGCGUUGCAUUAGCGGAGAGACGGGUCUCGGGCGCAGUUGGAGACGAGUGCAGUGAAUUCCGG